rnacentral:rRNA from 1 species
UACGAAGGGGGCUAGCGUUGCUCGGAAUCACUGGGCGUAAAGCGCACGUAGGCGGAUUGCUAAGUCAGGGGUGAAAUCCUGGAGCUCAACUCCAGAACUGCCUUUGAUACUGGCGACCUUGAGUCCGGGAGAGGUGAGUGGAACUGCGAGUGUAGAGGUGAAAUUCGUAGAUAUUCGCAAGAACACCAGUGGCGAAGGCGGCUCACUGGACCGGUACUGACGCUGAUGCGCGAAAAGCGUGGGGAGCCAAACAGGG